rnacentral:rRNA from 1 species
UACGAAGGGAGCUAGCGUUACUCGGAAUAACUGGGCGUAAAGCGCAUGUAGGCGGAACUACAAGUCAGGGGUGAAAUCCCGAGGCUCAACCUCGGAAUUGCCUUUGAAACUGUAGUUCUUGAGUAUGACAGAGGAUGGUGGAAUUUCCAGUGUAGAGGUGAAAUUCGUAGAUAUUGGAAAGAACACCGGUGGCGAAGGCGACCAUCUGGGUCAUAACUGACGCUGAGAUGCGAAAGCGUGGGGAGCGAACGGG